UACAGAGGGUGCAAGCGUUAAUCGGAAUUACUGGGCGUAAAGGGCGCGUAGGCGGUGUAUUAAGUUAGAUGUGAAAUCCCUGGGCUCAACCUAGGAACUGCAUCUGAUACUGGUACGCUAGAGUGCAGUAGAGGGUAGUGGAAUUCCCGGUGUAGCGGUGAAAUGCGCAGAUAUCGGGAAGAACACCCGUGGCGAAGGCGGCUCUCUGGGACGGUACUGACGCUGAGACGCGAAAGCGUGGGGAGCGAACAGG
rnacentral:rRNA from 1 species